CACGGACCAUAAAUAUUUUGACUGUUUGUUAUAUUUUGUUUCGUUCCAAUCACUACAAAUGUUGGAGUUUCUCCUCCACACCCAAAAGGAUUUCCAUUUCACCUUCCAACUGUCAUGCCUAUUUCUAUCCCAAUGUCGUCAUUCCUCAUCAACUUCGUGCCUCUUCAAGUUUGUUUGCUAGUGAGUGGUUUUGUGUUUCAUCCAUCUUUUCAUUUAUCCAUCCAUCACCUUUGAUUCGCUUCAAUGUCGUUGGCAUCUUCAUUGUCUGUCAACUCAUGGUUUGUGUUCUAGCCAUCCAUUUGUCAUGCCUAUUUCUAUCCAACUGCCGUCGUUCCUCAUCGACGUCGUACCUCUUCAAGUUUGUUUGUUGGUUUGUGGUUCGUGUUUCAGCCAUCUUUUCAUUGGUCCAUCCAUCAUCCUCGAUUCACUUCAAUGUCACCAACUUCUUCAUUGUCUGUCUACUCGUUGUUCGUGUUCCAGCCAUCCAUCGUUCAUGGAGUAGAUGCAAAACAAGAAGGUCCCCUUUUUCACUCUCUAUUUCUUUUACCUUCUUUUCGCUUCUAGUCUAAAAUUUGUCACAUUUCUCCAGCCCAUCUUAAAUUUGUUUAUGUGAAACAGAAAAAGAAGAGUUAUUGCUCUCUGAUUUGUCACUUCUUGGUAAUUUGUGGUAGGUUAUACUUCUGAUUCCUUGGAUUUUUAUGUAGACAAAAAAUUGGAUUUAGGGACUUCUUGGAUUUGUCUCUUCCUUGAAGUUUUGUUGUUCUAGGCUACUGCAUGAUAUUUUUAAGGAAUAUGGCCGCACAUAGAAAUUUAUCAAAACAAGCAAUGAUAAAAGAUAUUCACCGUUGAAGUUCUUUUUCGUUUGAUCCAACUUUGGGUAAGUUUUGAAUUAGGUCAAUUUUAAUUUUAAAUCCUGCCAUUAAAAGUAAGUUAUAUUUUAUGGAAUAUGUGUAUGACUCGAGAGAUCUUUAAAGUUCCUUUUAUGGAUUUUAGAA